GAUGAAGAACGUAGUGAAAUGCGAUAAGUAAUGUGAAUUGCAGAAUUCAGUGAAUCAUCGAAUCUUUGAACGCUCAUUGCGACCCCUGGUAUUCCGGGGGGCAUGCCUGUUCGAGCGUCAUUUCACCACUCAAGCCUCGCUUGGUAUUGGGCAACGCGGUCCGCCGCGUGCCUCAAAUCGACCGGCUGGGUCUUCUGUCCCCUAAGCGUUGUGGAAACUAUUCGCUAAAGGGUGUUCGGGAGGCUACGCCGUAAAACAACCCCAUUUCUAAGGUUGACCUCGGAUCAGGUAGGGAUACCCGCUGAACUUAAGCAUAUCAAUAAGCGGAGGA
rnacentral:misc_RNA from 1 species